GAUGAAGAACGCAGUGAAAUGCGAUACGUAAUGUGAAUUGCAGAAUUCAGUGAAUCAUCGAGUCUUUGAACGCACAUUGCGCCCUCUGGUAUUCCAGGGGGCAUGCCUGUCCGAGCGUCAUUGCUGCCCUCAAGCACGGCUUGUGUGUUGGGCCUCCGUCCUCCUCCCGGGGGACGGGCCCGAAAGGCAGCGGCGGCACCGCGUCCGGUCCUCGAGCGUAUGGGGCUUCGUCACCCGCUCUUGUAGGCCCGGCCGGCGCUUGCCGACACAUCAAUCUUUUUUCCAGGUUGACCUCGGAUCAGGUAGGGAUACCCGCUGAACUUAAGCAUAUCAAUAAGCGGAGGA
rnacentral:misc_RNA from 1 species